GCUUCGACGGGUACUGAGAGCGUCUCGGGCCGGCAGCUCAACGAACACACGUGGAACCGGCAAAGUUCCUGUGGCCACGGUGCCUACCGACGGCGGUAUGGUCGGUUGAAAAACCCAAAGGCGAUUCAGGUGGAAUUGCAGAAGGCUUCAGCUCACUUCCGACAGAUCACUUAGGUCCGCCAGUUCGCCAGACCAGACACGUGUCAAGGAACUGCUCAACUGUUCGACAUUCGCUUCGCAUCAGCUCUUACGAGCCUCCAUAAAGAGCAAAACAAACCGCGAAACGCAGCGGCAUACAUAAGGAGACACCUGAAGCAGGAGAAUAGGGAGGCAAACACUGAGAGGAUGAAGACAUCCAUGGUGGAAUCGACAAUAAAGGACUUCAAACAGUUUCUUCAGAAGGACGGCCUAUACCAGGCCUUAGGAGAAGAUGCCGGAGAGACUGCUCGGGAUACUCCGGAGACCGAGCAGUGAGAACCCUUUGUUGCCACUGGACGAAGAGCUUGAAGUAAGGAUUUAGCUGCCUGUGAUCCUACAAGUGACAAAUCAUUCAAUGGUAUUAGAUGGGCGAUCAUGCUAUCCAGCCCCGCCCUGCAAGACCAGCUCCGACUGAUCCACAGGGGCCAGGAGGCCCUGGAAGCAUAUGGAACCUGUGAAGAGGGAGCCACCCCAUCAGGCGGUUAACGCGCUCCUUUUCAUUAUGGGUCAAUAAAGUUUUUUUUUCUCCCUAUCUCUCGGUGGUCUGAGUGCCACUCCACCAAUAUCACUGGGAUCAGCAGACUGAACGGUGAAGAAAAGAAAGAUACUGACAAGACGUAACACACUUUAUAAUGAACGGAUAACACCACACCUGUGAUGAAGAUUCAGAACCCCAAAACAUCGAGCACAGGAACCUGCGGGUUAGGUUCAACGAAGAGGACGUCAUAGACGCGGGUAUGCUCAUGAGCAUUCCAGUGAUGCCGGUUGGUGGGACAUUAACGUUGUGGGAUUCUGACCCAUGCUCUCGGAACAAAGGAACGAAACAGCAAAAAGAAAGAAACUGUUUCAGUUAGAUUCAUUAGUGUAGUGACCAAUUAGUAAUUGUUUCGAUUAGCUGGCCAGAACUGGCGAAAGCUUUGCUCUAGCGUAUCAGAAAUGCUACUACGGGCUUUGUGCUGUUUUUUACAGCGAAGCUGUUUACCGCUACCCCCAAACGGCACAAUCGUGUCCACGGACAGAAAAGAGCGAGCAAAAACUAUCAUCAUCAGAAGUGGCUCAUACUCACCUAAGCAAGCAAAAAAUGGAUCUUAGAGAGAGAGAGAGAGAGAACAUUUAUUUCUAAUGAGAUAGGGUGACGUCCUCGUAGGGUGGAACAACAUGUCGACAACUGUGACCAUCAAUGGCUACCCUCGCAAGCAAUGGCUCGAGCACCCGUAAGCAAGCCCAUACUCAACGCCCAGAUCGGACAUCGAGUGAUUCAUGCGAACGCAUUUCUCCGCACUGGCAGGUAACCACAACACACCGGUCAUUGUUAUCGGUCAUAUUAAUAUGGACAUUGCCAAGCCACAAAACAGGUGGUUCAGUUCGUCGCCGACGAGUUUGCCUUGAUGUGCUUCACCGAUGCCACUCAGCCAACAACCACACAUGGAACGUGUAUUGAUCUUACGUUGGCAAAGAACGUUCCUGCGGUUAAAACUGAAAAUUUAGCCGCAUAUAAUAGUGACCACAAAACAGUGGUGACUAUUGUUACAAAAUAAAAUG